rnacentral:rRNA from 1 species
ACCUACGGGAGGCAGCAGUGGGGAAUAUUGGGCAAUGGGCGCAAGCCUGACCCAGCAACGCCGCGUGAAGGAAGAAGGCUUUCGGGUUGUAAACUUCUUUUAAGAGGGAAGAGCAGAAGACGGUACCUCUUGAAUAAGCCACGGCUAACUACGUGCCAGCAGCCGCGGUAAUACGUAGGUGGCAAGCGUUGUCCGGAUUUACUGGGUGUAAAGGGCGUGUAGCCGGGCUGACAAGUCAGAUGUGAAAUUCCGGGGCUCAACCCCGGACCUGCAUUUGAAACUGUUGGUCUUGAGUAUCGGAGAGG